rnacentral:rRNA from 1 species
AACGAACGCUGGCGGCAGGCCUAACACAUGCAAGUCGAGCGCCCCGCAGGGGGAGCGGCGGACGGGUGAGUAACGCGUGGGAACGUGCCCUUUGCUACGGAAUAGCCCCGGGAAACUGGGAGUAAUACCGUAUAAGCCCUACGGGGGAAAGAUUUAUCGGCAAAGGAUCGGCCCGCGUUGGAUUAGGUAGUUGGUGGGGUAAUGGCCUACCAAGCCGACGAUCCAUAGCUGGUUUGAGAGGAUGAUCAGCCACACUGGGACGGAGACACGGCCCAGACUCCUACGGGGGGCAGCAGUGGGGAAUCUUAGACAAUGGGCGCAAGCCUGAUCUAGCCAUGCCGCGUGAGCGAUGAAGGCCUUAGGGUUGUAAAGCUCUUUCGUGGGGGAAGAUAAUGACUGUACCCCAAGAAGAAGCCCCGGCUAACUCCGUGCCAGCCGCCGCCGUAAUAC